ACUAAUUUUAGUUUUUCUAAUUUUGGAAAGACUUGUCAUGCAAUACAAGUGUGUGUGAUCGUCCUACGUAUAUGAAGUGUAUAAUCGAUAUGGUUUAAUACAAGAUCAUAAUCAUAAUCUUGGAUCACUUUAAAGUUAGAAACACAAUCAUCUAAUAACUCCAUGAUCAGGUUAUAGACAACUGUACGUAGUAAUAUGAUUAUAAUCAUUGAAAAGCGAAUAUUUAUUUGAUAUUCACAUUUUAUAGUUAUCUUGGCAUGCUGUCCAAAAUGUGUCCGACAAAUCAACUUAGUUUAUACAAUUUUACUACAAUGUUAACAUUUGCAUUCAUCUUCCAUUAGGAUCACAUACAAGCUCGCGAGUUAGGUCUUGGGUUUUCAGAUCGAAGAGGGAUGAUCCAUCGUAUGGAAUGUUAUCGUAUGUGUCAAGUGAACAUGUCAUUUGUAUAAACAUGAAAUGGUAGACGUAGGCAUCCAUACAUCUUUAGAUGCCAUAUUACUAGGCAUGUUAUUGUGCAUUUUGCCUUCUAUAUUUAGGGAUGUUAAUAUGGGCUUUUGCCAAUAGGGUUAGCCCGGCCCGCAACUAUUUUCUUAACCCAAAACCCGUUUUGUUUUGUGUGGGUUAAAAUAGGGCCGGCUAAAAUAAAACGCGGGUUAGCCCUAAGCCCGUUAUGUUUUUUUUUUAUGAAAACAAACACUAUUAACACGACGUCGUUUUGAUUUUUCUUCAACGCCGUCUCUUUUUUCCAGAAACGAGAAAAGAGAGAAACAAAGAGGAUCGCAACGUGAACCCUAGAAUCUGAACGAAGCUGCUCAAAUUCAAAUCCGAUAACACGACGUCCUCAUCAAGUUCUGCUGCUCCUGGAUUGAUUUCAACGAACACACCAACCCUAGAGAUCGAUUUCGAAGAGCGUCGUCGGGGUUGUAUCCGUCUUCUCCAAUAAGCAUUCUGUGAGAGUGUAGUUCGUUGAGAGCAAAUGUUGGAGCAACGUGUUGGAGUUUUGAAGACUUGGAGUCUUGGAAGAGUGCACCUUUGAGUUUUUACUUUUAUGCUAAACAUUAUACAAUUAUGAAUAAAAAUUUAUAAACUUUGGGUUUUAAUUUCAUGAUAAACAUUUACACUUAUAAAAUAAAAAGAACUUAAGCUUUGGUUUUCUAA